UCUUACAAAUGUGCAAAGAAAGUGGUUUAUUGAGAUAGAGUCUACUCCUGGUGAAAAUGCUGUGAA
rnacentral:pre_miRNA from 4 species